CUACGAUCCACACGACUCCGGAGUGUACGUCGGUUACGCUCUGCCAGCUGUGCCAUAGACAGCACCAUACUAUGCUGCACCGCACCCCAAAGCGGGCCGUCGGGCGAAAACUCGCCCCAAGCCGCAGAUCGCAGCAGAGCAGCCAUCCGGAGCACCACCGAAGACAGGCAGUUCCACCUCCAUCCAGACCGAGACGACAGGAGGCAUCAACGCGGCGUCGGCAGCCCAGGCCAACAUACCGCCGCUCCACUGGCCUCAGCAGCGUUGUUGCCACGCUGCAGCAACUCCAGCGGUUGCUAGGCUAAAAUUCGCCUAGGGGGGCCGGGAUGGCUAGAUGAGUUACGCCUCCCCCCUCCAUACGCGCCACUGAGCGCCAACACACCACAUCAACACGAUCCACAAGAAGACUCCACCCAUUAACACACACAAACACACACCACCCCUGCAGACAUCACACCACGCAGAUAUCACACCACACAGACCACCCACACAUACACAUCACAUCCUACCACAACUCUACACUACCCAACACUCAAAAGGGAGUAACAAUAGACCAAAAAGCUUCUUUCUCAUCAGCGAAUCGCCCCGAUCAGACGUCCGCAAGUUUCCGCCCGUGUUCCCUUUUUAUACGCCGUAUCAUUUUUCGUUAAAGUGCAAAAAGGUUAGUGUACAAGUGAAACGAUUAAAUAAUAUUCAUAUUAUUUUAUUUUGCUAUAAUCCAUUUCAACAUAAAAUAUGUGCUAUUUCUCCUCGUUUGAACUUCCUGCAACAAAUUGUAGAGGUUUUCUAUUUCCUGCACUUGAACACACUCAUGAAAAAUUCAGUAUGCUAUUGUACUAUAUUUAAAAAAAGAUACAAUGUCUCAACAUUAUUUCCGCAAAUGUGCAAGAUCUUCCCUCCGUAACAAACUAUCUUGAACCGCCAGGUUUAGUGUAUGCUCAUAGCAACCAAUAUGCGUUUUUUCAGUAGAGUACAAGCAUUAAUCUGUCACUGGCAUUAUGUCACUAUACCACGAACUUUUUGGAUAAUUUCCCAAUCAUUCAAUACCCUCUGUAUAAAAUAAGCUAAGUAUAUUUGUUGCGUUAUAAUUUGUUGGAUCUUUCAGUUUUUUCGUUGACAGGACACACGAUUUUAGUUCAAAAUUUACAAGAAAUUGGCGAGUGAUGAUAACGUAAGACUCAUUUGAAGUGGAGGAGCAGGCGUCUCAUCAUAUCAACACUAAACUUUUGGCACACGGCAACACAAAUCGUGGAUACAAUUUUUGAACUCUUCACCACACACUAUGUUUAUAGGUUGAUAACCCUUAGUCACUAAACGCGACAAAGCGUCUUCGAUGUUUUUUUUUUACUUUUUGAAUUCUUUUCGUAUUCAAUGGCUCUACUGAAAUAUGACGCAACUGAUCUUAUGCUAGAUUGACGACUGCCAGAAGUACUAGGAUAAUCAAUGUCCAAGGACUCUUCAUUGUUGUCGCAAUCGCGAUGAAAUCUUAUCAAAUGAUCACGCAAGUUACUCGUAUUCCCACUCGUUUUGUAUUCU